rnacentral:rRNA from 1 species
AUAUACUUAAGUAGUAAUAGUUAUGUUCUUGAAACUUAAAAAAUUUGGCGGUAUUUUAGUCUAUCCAGAGGAACCUGUUUUGUAAUCGAUAAUCCACGAUGGACCUUUCUUAAAUUUGUAAUCAGUUUAUAUACCGUCGUUAUCAGAAUAUUUUAUAAGAAUAAUAAUAUUCAAUAAUUUUAAUUAAAAUUUAUAUCAGAUCAAGGUGUAGCUUAUGUUUAAGUAAUAAUGGGUUACAAUAAAUAUAUUUAUACGGAUAAAAUUAUGAAAAAAAUUUUGAAGGUGGAUUUGGUAGUAAAAUUAUAAAGAUUAAUAAUUUGAUUUUAGCUCUAAAAUAUGUACACAUCGCCCGUCGCUCUUAUUAUUAAGGUAAGAUAAGUCGUAACAUAGUAGAUGUACUGGAAAGUGUAUCUAGAAUGA